rnacentral:lncRNA from 1 species
UGGUGAAGCUUUUAUAGGUGAAGUUUUUGUAUAUGAAGCUAUUGUGGGUAAAGCUUUUGUAGGUGAAGCUUUGGAGUUGAAGCUUUGUAGGUGAAGCUUUUGUUGGGUACCAUGAAUUGAUUUUGCUUCACACUAUCUUGAUCAAGAUAGUGUGAAGCUUUUGAGAAUUUGUAGUUGUCUUCCAUUGAUGAAGCUUUGUUGAAUUUCCCAUUUUUUAAAAUUUUUUUUUGGGAAACUUGAAAUUUGAAAAUGUGGGAGAGACAACAUAUACAAAUUUUGCUUCCACACUGUUGAGCAAGAAAUUGUGAUGCAAGUCACACCUUGUAGUAGUCGAAGGUUUGGAUGAACCAUAUAAAUUGAAUUUGCUUCGAAUAAUCUUGAAUUUGCUUCGAAAGUUUGAGAAUUGCAGUUGCCCUCCAUUGAUGAAGCUUUUGUUGGCACCACAAAUUGGUUUUGCUUCACACUGUCUUGAUCAAGAGUGUGUGAAGCAUUUGAGAAUUGUGGUUGAACUCCUUUGAUGAAGCUUUUGUUGGCACUAUAAAUUGGUUUUGCUUCACACUGUCUUGAUCAAGAG